rnacentral:rRNA from 1 species
AUGAACGCUAGCUACAGGCUUAACACAUGCAAGUCGAGGGGCAGCAUGAAGUCAGCUUGCUGACUUUGAUGGCGACCGGCGCACGGGUGAGUAACGCGUGAGCAACUUGCCCGUUUCUGGGGAAUAACCGGUGGAAACGCCGACUAAUACCCCAUGGCAUCACAUCAAGGCAUCUUUUUGUGAUUAAAGAAAUUCGGAUAAGGAUAGGCUCGCGUGACAUUAGCUAGACGGCGGGGUAACGGCCCACCGUGGCGACGAUGUCUAGGGGUUCUGAGAGGAAGGUCCCCCACACUGGAACUGAGACACGGUCCAGACUCCUACGGGAGGCAGCAGUGAGGAAUAUUGGUCAAUGGUCUGACGACUGAACCAGCCAUGCCGCGUGAAGGUCACGGCCCUAUGGGUCUUAAACUUCUUUUGCGAGGGAGCAAUAAGGUCUACGUGUAGUCCGAUGAGAGUACCUCGCGAAUAAGCAUCGGCUAACUCCGUG